rnacentral:lncRNA from 1 species
UAACAACAGGUGGCGGUGGGCACGGUGAUGGCGGUGGCGGUGGGCACGGUGAUGGCGGCGUUACGACGGGUGGAGGCGUAUGAGUGGGUGGUUUAGGGGUGGACGGAGGUGGUUUAACAGUGGGCGGUUUCGUGGGUGGUUUCGGGGUAGACGGAGGAGGUUUAACGGUGGGCGGUUUCGUGGGUGGUUUCGGGGUGGACGGAGGUGGUUUAACGGUGGGCGGUUUCGUGGGUGGUUUCGGGGUGGGAUGAGGUUUGGUAGGGGGUUUCGGAUGUGGGUGUGGUUUGACAGUGGGCGGUUUGGUAGGGGGUUUAGGGUGUGGGUGUGGUUUGACGGUGGGUGGUUUGGGAGGUUUUACUGCCGGUGGUUUAGGCGGUUUGCUAGGAUGUUUAGGCGGUUUGUGGGGGUGAGGUGAUGGUUUAGGAGGGCUACAGUCGCAAGCGAAGGAGACGGCAAGAAAGCCAAGGAAGAGGAAGAUAAGAAAAGAGAGGUUUUGUGUACGAGACCCCAUUUUUCUAGAGUGAGGGUGUGGUUUACCCAAAGGACUGAGUAAGAAAGAUAUAUGAGUGUAUCAUUUUAUAGAAAGAUAUUAAAAUAUAUUUGCUAUAUAUAAUUUUCAAAUAUGCAUUUUGUGACUAGAUUAUUGAAACUGAAUUUCAGUUUUUGUUUUUGUUUUGAAAUCUAGAUUUUGUAGCAUGUGUUAAGUCACUUAGUUACAACUUACAAGUUGUCAUUUCCUGAGUUGUAAAAAAAUAGGACAACAUUCGUUAUAUAUAUACUUCCAUAGAAACUCUAUUGUGGUUGUGGAUCAACCUAUGUGAAGAGGAUACAAAAAAAUAAGCUUUAAAGAUUUUAGUAAGUUCAAUUUUUUUUUGUAUUUUUCUUAUUGAUCAAAACACUGCCAAAAGCAAAUAAACUGCAUUUGGUGCGAAGAACUCAAAUACUACUCCUCGCAAGGUUUCUGCCAAAUCAUUUGCUCUAUCCUUCUCCCUUUGAGUUUUUUUUAAUCUAGGGAGAUAUAUAUACCUUGUUAUUCAUAGUCUACUUAGAACAAGGAAGCAGAUAUAUAUUAGAUUUCUAAUAUACAACCUCUGAGUAACUCGGAUUCGGCCACCUCCUCGAAUCAUAGGAUGACUCUAUCCACUCUUCAAUGUACGUAAUAUUAUUUGAUCAUCCAUGUUUUUGCACUCGGUAAUUUCUAGCUAUAUAUUAAAACUGGAAAUUGUUUUGAGUAAAUUCGAUUAUGAAUAGUUGGUAAACGUAUGGUUUUAUGCUUCUGCCACGGUUGUUUAAAUAAAGGAAUAAAAGAGUGCAAUUUUAACCAAAAAAAAAAAAGAGAGAGAGAGAGAGUGCAAUUUCAGUUCUACGAGACCUUGAUCUGAAUCCAAAAUAUAUUAUGAUAAAAAAAAAAUUCAUGCCACCAAAAAUAUUUUUCUUAAAGAAAAUAUGAUAAUUGGCCAAAAACCAUGAAAUUUGUGUUUUGUUUUAUCAACGUUGAGUUGACCUAGUGAUAAAGGAAUUGCGACUGUAACUUCCGCCACUUGGGUUCAAUUCACAGUGAAAGAAACUAUUUACAAUGCUUGGGUUUUCGGUUUUUUAGACCAAAAAGAAAAAUCCUUUGUUUUAAUUUCUUGGACAUGAUCAUAAUGGUUUAGCCAAUAUAAAACGUACAAACAUGAAAAUGUUUGACGAAACGACCACCGGAGAUAGAAUUGUCAUCAUGCAUUGAAAAACAUAAACUUUCGCAAAGGUAGGCACCAUUAUCGUACGUCUUAUAUGUUUUCUAUUUCUUUCUUUUGUUCUCGUUUCCAAAAGGCUAUUGUCACCAAGCUUUUCCAUCACAUAUUUUCCGUAAAAUGAUCGAUAUUUUCAUAUAUGGGUAAAACUUAGCUUUUCCAAAUAUGCGUUCUCUUUUUAUAAUCCUGUCUAAUAGUGUCUUGCACUCUGGUUUGUUAAAUCGGAGAUCCAGUUGGUCAAAUAUCUAAAAUCAAGGCGUAAAUCAGGGAAAUGUCCCGAUAUUGCCAAGCUCUAAUACUCUAGCAUAAUAGCAUUUUAAAGAAUGCCCAGUCUAUCAGCGUUUAACAGUCACUAGAUUAAAACAUUUGUUAUGUUAUUGCAUAGAUUUUCUUUUCUAAAAAAACUUUGGGCAGACAUAUUUUGUAAUUACUAGUGAAAACAAUGGGAGUAACCAGAGGAUUUUGUAGUGUUAUGGCCAGUGGGCAGACAAUUUAUGAAGGGAUUUUGUCAGCAUUACUUGACUUAAGACACACCUCCCAUCUUCUAUAGUGACAAGAUAUAAUUAAAGACAUCCUUCUCACUCUUCUUUUUUUCUAGUUCCUUCCGUUUUAGGUCCACUUUUCGAGAAGCAUAUUAGGCAAGUUCAGAACUUCUCUUGGGUUUUAGUUUAUGUUUUUACCUAUUCAAAAAGGAGGAAAAUAAUCAGUUUUGGUUUAGCAUACCAAACCUACGAUGUAAAGUAUUCAAAUGUUCAGUAUUCAUAUAAAGUAUAUAAGUCGAUAUAUCUUGAGCCAAGGUCCGAGUUAUUGGGAUUUCGUAGGUAGAUGACAGGUUAAAAAGUAUUCGUUUAUAUUGAUGAAAUCACUCCCCCACACCUCCAUAACGUGUUUCGGCCGUUCAGUCAUUUACAUUUUCAUAUAACCAAUCUAGGCUUUGGAUCAUAUAUUAUCCAUCCAUAUGAUUUGUUCAAAGCUUUUUCUUUAGUUUGUUUUUGUCUCCCGCGUUUGAAAGAUACGAGCUUUGUGAGCCUUUUAUCAGAUCUUUAAGUGAUUGAAUAGCGUCCGUGAUUGAUGAUUCUCUUUAGAAUUUUUCCAUUAAAUAAUAUUAAUUUUAAAAUAUAUAUUGUACUACUAUUAUACUAGUGAUGAUUCAGAAUAUGAUUUCAUAGUGUAAAUAGGUCAACAUAUACUAAUUAAAGCUAAAUCUACUAUAUGAUUGGUAAAAUUGAAACGAUCAUUUGGUUAACACACACGUUCACUGCGUUUGAAAUAACAAAACUGUAAAUUUACUUUCUUCAGAACACGAUUUAUAGUUAUUUUUCUCCCAGAUUCUUUCACAUGGUAUAGAAAGCUUAUUUAUUAGUAUUGUUGGGGAUUUUUGUUAUUCAAAUUUCUAUUUGUCAUGAAUAAAUUUAUUAUUGAACAGUUUUCACCAUACUAUUCGCAGGUGUACUAAGAAAAGGUAGAGUGAAAGUUGUACAAAAUCCCAUUGUGUCCGAGGAGUAAGAGCACUUCCAAUGGAAGUUCUACCCAUUAAAAUUCUAAAUAUGAAUAUGUAUAUAUGUAUAUAUUGUAUAUAUGUAUGUAGUUGUGGGGUCUACUAAAUAGUAUAAAAUUUCUAUUCAAAAGGUAUAAUUUUGGAGAUUCUCUAAAAGUUUUCUCUACCACUUUUUCUCUGAACAAACUUUUUUUUCUCUGAACAACCUUUCUUUGCCAUAUUCACUUUCGCAUCUCUAUUGACAAUAUCGCAAAAACAUUGUGGUUUAUUUUCUAAUUCAGUUUAUCAAGAACUGUUUAAAAUUAUUUUAGUUAUAAACCUACUUUGUAUGAUAAAUUAUGAAAUUAAAAACUUUUAGAUUUAUUGAAUAAAACAAAAUAAAGUUUAGACGCCACUACAAGGUGGCGGGUAGGAUUUGGCGGGUAGCAAAAACAUUGUAAACCCGUGAAGUCUGUCACUUUUAGGAUUUAUUUUUCUUUAAAAACCAAAAAUGGGAAAUGGAUAAUGUGACGUGCUGAAUGCAUCACAUGCAUGCAUGUGACUCCACCAUAAUUUAAGAAAAAACAAACUUAAAAAAAUGUGGUCUGACUCUCUGAGUACUCAUGUCCUAGUCGUGAGGACACGUCAGUCCAUCACCAGCCGGGGGAAAAAAUGUACACGAGAAAAGAUGUCGUUGUGAUAAUUUGUUUUGCAGAAGCUUUUUUUUUUGCAAUUAAAAAGUGGAGAAGAAGAAAUCGAACCCGGUUUUGCGGAAGCUUGAUCAUUUCUUUACUGAUAGAGUGAUAAUAGUUAGAGAAAAUUGGCCCAUGUACCCUUAAAUGAUCCCUUAAUUUGAGCUUUGCGCCUGAAAUGACAGUAUUAGUUUUAUUCUGAAAUUAACCUUACUUCCUCGUUGACGGCUUUAGAUGAAGUUGUGUCAGUAUACCCUGUGCAUGUCGAAAAUAUGUAUCAGAUGGAAAAUUCUUUUCUAGUUCUCUUUCUUCUCGUAAUCUCUUUCUUUUCAAAGGUCUUUUUUUUUUCUUUUCACUUCUCUAUAUUAAAUGUGUGUUUUGCAAUGUCUUUCUUCUCUCCUUCUCUAUUUUUUUUUGGUGUAAAUGUUAAGAUUUAUACCAACUUUUCUGUUUUUUGAAUUACAAGAUGUGGCAAGCCACUUAUUAAGCAACAAGAAGAGAAAGAAGGAAAAGAAGCAAGAAACUAAGGUUCAUUACAAAGAAAGGCGGAGUAAAGCUGCAGGAGCGAGACAUGAGAUGGAGAUCGAGUCGGGAUAGAGAGCAGCCGGUCCCUAAUCAUGCGAUCUACCCUUGAAGCCAGCACCGUUGCAGGAAUAGAAGUGGUUGUGAAGAUGCGUGCGUUCCUUUCCCUCCACAAGCAAUAAAUGACAACCUGCAAAAUUAGCUUGAGGACUGGUAUAGUCCUAGGUGUAGAAGUGAACUGGUGACAUCGCAUCGCGUUGGCACACGCUAGUGUUGAGACCGGAGGAGCCGAGAGAUAUCUUCCUACACAGAAACGCGACCAAACAGAAGAAGCAUAGGUGCAUUGAAAGAAUAGGUGAUCAUGUGAUUCUAGCCCAGUUGAGCAGAGCACACAGUGCGCCGGAACAUUCAUGCCCCAAGACGCUAGCCGAUCCCUUGUUGGUAGUCGUUGAAGCACAGACAGCCAGGUGAUAAACGAGCAACGCGGGAUUUCCUCCUUAAACCAGACCAAGCCUGCCCAUGAAACUGGCUCUGCAGUCUGCCUUAUGAGCUCCCAUGUUCUCUUGGUGGAGAAUUGUUUGUCAUAACUACUGUCCCCACUGCGCCACAGAUAGCAAUCUUUACCUCUCGAGGGAGAUGGUGGUGGGAUUGUGGAAAGAACAAUCUGUAGUGUCUCGGACUCAUCAGAUCUAGCUGAUGGGAUUUGCCAGGUUCCAUCCCUAGUUGCCUCGGAAACUGUAGAGUUUAGGGGAAUGCGGAGAUCUCUUGGACCCGUAGGACCCAUUGCCGAGAUCAAAGGCCCCAUAUCUGUCCACCAGUCAAACCAAAAAGACGCUGACCUGCCAUCGCCUAUAGAGCAUCGAAGGAAAUAUUCAACUGUCGACUUGAUGGAGAUCAUAUUUUUCACCGUUGAAGAAAACCGUGCUGCAUUUUCCAUAAUCCAGUAGCUUUUGCGGAUGAAAACGUUGUUGUACAACCAACGGCUCCACAACGACUCAGAGGAGGUGAAAUAAUUCCAGACUCUCUUCAACUGGAAUACCGACUGAUAAUCUUCAAGCUUUCGGAUCCCCAAGCCUCCCUCUUGCUUAGGUUUACAGAUACUCUCCCAUGAAACCCGGGCUCCCGAAGCCGAAGUGGUUUUGUUGUUCCAUAGAAAGGCUGAGCAUAGAGAAUCCACUUUUGCGUAGAACCGCUUAGGUAAAGUGAAUACCGAACUCCAAAAAUUGACCAUCCCGUAGAUAACGGAGGUCACCAUUUUUAUCUUUCCAGCAAAGGACAAACAUUUAGCCGUCCAUGAAUGAAGCUUAUUGGUGAUUCGCUCCAGAAAUGGCUGCAGGGAUUCGAAGUUCAAACGAGUCGGAUUCAGGGGUAAGCCUAGAUAACGGGUAGGAAAAGAGCCCUUCUUGAAUCCUGAGAGGUCACUAAUUACAGAAGCUUCGAUACUACUAUAACCCCCAAGAAAGAUUUCUGAUUUUGUGGGGUUAGUAUCAAGACCAGUCCAGCAUUUGAAAGACCUCAUUACUGCUUUAAUCCCAUUGAUUGAGUGAUUAGACCCGUCAGAGAAGACAAGCAAGUCGUCCGCAAACAGCAAGUGAGUCACUCUAGGAUGGGCACAUAAAGGAUGUAAACUCAUACCCUCUUCAUCAACCAAUUUCUCAAAUAAUUUUGACAGCACUUCCAUAAUCAUGAUAAAGAUAUAUGGGGAGAUAGAGUCACCUUGACGCAAGCCUUUUUUACCGGCGAAGAAUCCAGCCAGCUCGCCAUUUACGGAAACGGAGAAUCUUGGAGAGGUCAUACACUCUUUAAUCCAGGUAACGAAGAUCGGGGGAAAGGAUUGAGCUUGCAACAAUUUGAUAACGAAGUCCCAGCAGACAGUAUCAAACGCCUUCCGUAGGUCUACCUUUAGCGUGCAGCUUGGCUGGCAGUUUGCUGAGUUGUAUGACUGAAUCAGUUCGGUCGCUAAGAGGACAUUGUCCCCCAGAGAUGUGCCCUUCAGAAAAGCCGCUUGAUUUGGGCUCACACAAGACUGCAUAAGAGGUUUUAACCUGUUGGUGAUUAUUUUCGAAAUGACCUUGUAGACUAUGUUGCAGCAACUAAUCGGUCUGUAGUCUCCCAGUCUGCAUGCUUCAGGGGUCUUAGGUAUUAGAGCAAUGGCUGUGGUAUUCAGAUCCUUUAGGAGACGACCAUUCCUGAAGAAUUCUGCUACCGCAUUAACGACGUCCUGCCCUACGGUGUCCCAAGAAGCCCGGAGAAACUCAACACAAUAGCCAUCGGGGCCAGAACUCUUGUUCAGCGGCAUUGAGAAGACUGUGGCCCGGAUCUCCGCUGCUGUGACUACUCUACUCAAAUACCGUUGUUGUAAUUCUGAGCAUCUGAACCCUAACAGACCUUGUAGUUCAGUGACAGUUACCGGCGAAGUAGCCAUAUCUGUCUGCCCUAAGAUUCCUUCAAAAUAAGCCGCAGAAUGGGCUUUAAUACCAGCAGCUGUUCCAAUAAACUGAUCAUUUUCGCCUUUAAGGAAGUGAAUGUGAUUGCGAGUCAGACGUUGAGAGACUGUCUUAUGAAAGAACGGUGUGUUACGAUCUCCCACAUCUGCCCAUCGCACUCUUGAUCGUUGUCUAUAGAACUUUUGCUCUGCAGUUAGCAACAUGUUGAGCUUCGCUCGGUCCCUGUGCUCUUGCUCUGCUGUAUUCCUGUCUGGAGCAGAUAGUAGCGAACGUUGCAGUCCCUCUACGACACUCGUUUGCUCCUUUACCCGCUGAGAGAUACCACUAAAAUGAGUCUUGUUCAGGUAACGGAGAUCCUUUUUCAAACCUUUCAGAGAGCGGACUAGUUUGAAUUGAUCCGAUCCUACAAUCUGAUUAGGCUUCCAAGCUUCGGAGACUGUUGCAGCAUAGUCCGGAUGGUCAAUGACAUGAUGAAAGAACUUGAACGGCUUACAGGACUGUCGUCUUAGCGACGGAAUUCUGAAGGCACAAGGAGCAUGAUCAGACUGGCCUGGUUCUAAGUAUUCAGCAUAAGAAUCAGGAAAUACUGAUGCCCAGGCCUGGUUAAUGAAAGCGUGAUCAAUCUUCUUAGAAAUAGGGUUAUCAACUUGGUUAUUCCACCAGGUGAAUGGAGAACCCUUUGAUUGAGCUUCGAAUAACUCAGCAUCCUGAAGUGCCGUUGUCAUAUCUUCCAUACCCGUAGUAUCAAUAACAGAAUCAGGGUAUUGGGAGUGAUUACUAACCCUGAUGAUUUGGUUGAAGUCGCCUACAACCGACCAGGGAGAGUGAGAAACCGAUGUUGUUCUGUUGAUGAGGGUAAGUUCAUCCCAAAGAGAUUGCCUAGCUUCCACCUCAUUAAACCCAUACGCAAAAGUGACGGUGAGGUUGAUAUUUUCCGCCAUUAUGAAAAUUCCACAGGUAAUUGCCUCAGCAGAGGCACUAUACACAAAAACUGAUACCGUCGGGUCCCAAACGACCACUAUCCUACCGGCUGGAUGAUGUUCAAAAUUCCCAAAAUACCUCCACCCUGCCGGAAUUGCAUUCAAAAUCCGAGAUUGGUUAUUUUCUUGUACAUGUGUUUCCAAAAAAGCUCCCAGUAGAGGUCUGUGGAUAUUAAUCCACUCUCUGGUCAUUGUGUGGCGUAUAUCACUAUUCAGUCCUCUAACAUUCCACGCAAAAAAUAUCGACAUAAUGAUUAGUGGUUGCGUUUGGCCUUGCGGCGACUCUUUCUCCCGAGAACCAGCAGAAAGCCAUCAUCACUUGUAGCAUCAUGAUCAGUUUGUGAGUAACCUGACCUGUGCUCCUCCACUCGCCUCUCGUGAAUUACAUCACUACUAGACUCUUUAGUAGUAUUAUAAUUCAGUGAGACUUUAUCAUUUGUAGAUUGUCUGGUACAACCAUUUUCCGGAGGAUGCACUGCAUCCUCAACAGCCACUCCCUCCGCAGCAUCCUCAGCAGCCACUGCAACCUCAGCAGUCCCAGUGGGAUCAAUUGAUGUCUCCGCUGUUCCUAGACUGAUCUCUCCCUCCUCUCGAUCAAUGGCAGCAGGAUCUCUGUCUUUUUCCGGAGAGAUCUUCACAUUAUGGACAGGUUUACGGGAAUGCCUUCUAUUGUUGGGGCGGGAGCGUCCAGCGCGUUCCUGAAUUGGUUUCUUCUCCCUACUACGAGAUGUGCUUCUGUCCCGAUUAACCACUGUUCUUCCUCCAACCGCGGGUACCCGACAUUUAUCAUUCUCGUGCCCAAAUCUCCCACACUGACUACAUUUUACUGGUAACCAGGGGUAGGUAACAGAUAUUUCAACCUCACGACCAUUAGAAAACCCUGAGAUAAUCUUUGAGGGUAGUGGUUUGGUAAGGUCAACUCUGACGUACAUCUUCGCCACCUUAAAAUUUUCCUUGCGCUCUGUCUCCGGUGCAAGUGAAUCAGGCUUACCAAUAGCUGUAGCGAUCCUGCUCAAGCUCUGUUGGUUAAACAGUAGGUAGGGAACAUUCCGCAACUCCACCGGAACUACCGCAGACGUUAAUGGGGCUUCCUCUGGAGCAAAGUCAGGCGACCAUGGAGCCACGAACAUUGGAUAUCCAGCCACAUUCCAGCAUGUACGACUGAGAAGAGAUUCUCUUGCUUUAAUGUUUAUAACUCGCAGCAAGUAGCAUCCUUGGCCAAUGUUAUGAACAAAAAUCCUCGGUCCCGCCUUUGCCCAAAUAGCAUUUACCACACCAAUGAUUCGACCCAUUGAUGGGAAAUCACUGUGAAAUCUCGCAAAGAGGAAGUCUUUGAAUUCUUCUCUUGCUGAUUGAAUGUUGUCAUCGGGUAUGAGAACAAACGGCGCUCCUGAGACGUGCUCUGUAGGCGUACCAAGUUCUUCCAGUUUCGCUGAGGCCUUAAGAAGACUUGCAUAGUUUUGGUUACCAGAGGGCGAGACCGGCCUAACAGUCUCUGUCUCCUCAGAGGGUGUAUCCGCAGUCAAAUGGACUGGCGAUGAUCCGAAAGCCACCUCCUUUGCAGCAUUCAGAACAGUAUCAGUAUGAGCUGAUGUCUCAGCCACAAUGACUGGAGCAGCUACUGAUUGCAAAUCCCCAUUUCUUUCAUGGGUAGAUGUUCCCUCAACAGACAGAGAUGCCGAACCUUUAACAUUAAGAGCCAAAGCGGACUCGUCUUGAGUCAGAUCUGUAGCCGCGGUCACUGCCUCGUAGCUAGAAGAAAGCUUCUCCUCUACCACACCUGUGGCAAUUACAGCAUCAGCAAUGGGAUUGCUGGCGAGAGGAAUAGAUUUCUUCUUGCCCUUAGCGGCAGCGGCGAACCGGGCCAUUUUCGAAGAACCUUGUAGCGGAUGACGUUGUUUGUUUCGAAAUUUCAUGGGAGCCAGAGAUUUGAGAAGAAGAAAGGAGGCAGAGAGUUCUCGCCGGAGGAGCGUGGUGCUCUCCGACGGCGGAUUCGCGGUGGGAAAACCCUUAUCCUAAAAAUCGCCUUUAGCCCUCAUGAGAGAGAAAAAUCAGAAAAUUCAUAAUUGUUCCCACAUUUAUCCAGCUCUCCUUCUCUAUUUUGUUCGUAGAUUCUUUAUUUUUGUUUCGUUUUUUAAAUCUUUAGAUCUUUAUAAUUUAAAAAAAAAGAAAAAAGAAAUUCAUCUCAAAUUUGUUUUGCACUACUUUUUCAUAUUAUGUUCUUCAUCUAGACUUUUUUGGUUCCUUUUAUUUUAUUUUCUAUGUUUGAUUUUUCUCAUUAAUAUAUUUUAUCUCUAAUGAACUCUCUUUCCAGGGUUGGGAAGUUGCUGAAGAUCCAAGAUGAAUCCAGAGUGAUGGCUAGCAAUUUCGUGAUGUUUGUUGAUAUAUAUAACAUUUAUGUUAGCAACCAUUUUACUUGUUACCCAAUAUUAUUUAUGUUUAUUAGUGUAUCUUUUGUUUUCUAUCGCCAUUUGAGAUCAAGUUUUUUAGAUGUUAGUAUUUAAUUGUCGCUAACUGAUAAUAUGUGGUAACGUGUUAUAAGUUAUGUGUUGUUAGUAGAUAUAUAGUUGGUUAAAUAAUAUAUGGCUUGUUAGGCGUUAAAUUUUUCUUGGUACUUUAUUUAUUAGCUAAUACAUUAUUUGUUAGCUGAUACAUAUUUUCGUAGUAGAUACAAUUUUUUAUUAUGUAUGUUAUUGAUUCUUUUAACAUACUAGACAUAAUCAUGAUCAUCUAACAAAGCAUAUUAUAUGGUUUGUUAGCUGAUAUAUGUUUUUUUUUCUGAUUAAAUAUCAAAUUUAUUGAUCAAAGUGAAAAAGGAAUUUACAUAAAAUGAUAUAUUGUUCUAAUCUGUAAAGAAUAAAACAAUGAUAUGUUCUAAUAUGUGUAGACAGUAAACUAUCUCAUAAAUAGUCCGCUCAGCUUAUGGUUUUCCCUAUACUUCAAAGAUGAGAUGCGCUUCUUGACAAUAUUCCCAAUGGCCUUAGUAGUUGUAUCAACAGGUGCACACACCUCCGUGCCGUCUUGAGUUCCUCUCCUUCCACAACAUAUAAAUGACUGUUUGGAAAACUAAGCGGAGGAGUAUAGCAUCGAGUCUGCUCCUGUUCUGGCGUAACAGGGAGGUGACUAUAUCUUUCCAGUCCGGUGUUAUCGCUAGACCAAAUAAUUUCUUUGCUACGUUUAUCCAAACUGUGAAGGUAUAAGGGCAAGCGAAAAACAAAUGAUCUCUGCUUUCAUCCUUGUCUCCACAGUAGACACAUCAUUGCUCCAUUCUCCAUUCUUUCAUUCUAGUGCCUGUUGAUAAUCUGUCCUUGAAAACUAACCAUACCACGAAGGAUUGUCGGGGUAUGGCCUGAGGGAACCACACAAUACAAUGCCAAGGAAGCUUUGUCUUUUUAACUCUCAGGUAGUUCCAAGUCUUGGUAGCUGAGAAAUAUGGUUUCAAAUCAUCCUGGUCAUGUCUCCAUAGAGCUAUAUCUGGCCCUGCAGUAGCUACCGGCUGUGGAAUCUCUGCAAGCUGAUAUAUGAUUUUUUGAAUAGACAGUUUUUUGUUUUUUGUUUGUUAGAUGAUAAAUGGAUUGAUACAUAUUUUGUGAGUAAUACAUUGUCUAAUAAACGGUUCGUUAUUUAAUAAAUGAUUUGUUAUCUGGUACAUGUUUUUUUAGCAGUGCAUAGUUCAUUAACCAAAAAAUUGAUAUUUAAUAUUAUGUAUAUUAUUGAAUACAUAUUCUUCUUUCUCAUCAAUUUAUACGAUAUAUAUAGAAUUAGAAAAUAUUUCGAUCAAAAAAAAAAAAAAUAUUUCGCAAGUGUGUAAGAUAUUUUGUUAUUAAUACCAUUCAAAGUUCGUUGCUACUCUUGUUUGAUAAAUAGUUUGUUAUAGGAUACAUGAUUUAUUAUCUGUCACAUAUUUUGUUAGCUGAUGAAUAGUUGAUACAUGGUUUGUUUGAUGGUUCGCAAUUUAUUAAAUGAUACUUACAUACAUACCAACUAACACAUAUGUUAUCAAGAACGGGUUCUUCUUAAAUUUUUGAUACACCACCGCAUGAAUUAUAGUUGAAGAGAAAGACCACAACACAGAAUCGCUAUUAAUAUGAUUGGAAAUUGAAAACACAUUAUGAUUUGAAACAUAAAGGGAUAAGAACAAUGUUCACCGGAAGGGAUAAAAUCCCCGCAACCUGUCAUAUCGAUCGGAGUGUUUAAUGUUGAAUCCUCCAGUGAGUUUAAUGUCAUAUAGGAGUGUUUAAUGUUAAAUUUUUAAUACAAACAUAAGAACAUCAUUAGUGGUAUGAUACCCAUUUAGAGUAUCUAAUUUAUAUAAUAUUAAUAUUAAAACUAUUAAAUUUUAAACAAAAUAAAAGUCCAACCAAUGAGACAACAACAAAUAUUACCGGAGUCUAUAUCAAAUUGUGUGGAACGUUUCUUUAUAAAGGUACGUUAUCUUUCUAUUGUUUUGAUAUUUUUAUUUCAAAAAACCUAUUCAGAAACUAGCACGCAAGUUUCCUAAGAACAGUUUUUAAAAAAUGAUGUACUGAAUAUCUAUUUAUUAAAAUAAAAAUAAAAGGGAAUAGAGAACUAGAAAAGUUCUUAAUUGAGAAAUUUUGAGAACCUCAUAACAACCUUACUGUCCAAAUGUCAAAUAUUGGUUAGAUUUUUAAUAUCAAAAUUAAAUUUAACUAAGAAAUUAAGUUCUAUUUAAAAUUUAUAUUUUUUGCCGUAAAAAAUCCAUGUGGAUUCUUACCAAUGGUGUUGCUCUAAUAAGACUAUCCACAUCAAAAAUAUUUCAAUUAGAAUAUGUCACCAAAAUAAUAAUUUUUAAUUUUUUUUAAAGAGAUUCAUGCUGAAAGUCGUCAUUUGAGAAUUCUGGACAUGAGUCUAUCAAAACAUUUGUAAAAAGAAAUCAUUAAAAUAUUGUAUUUUGUUGAGAGAUUCAAAUAAUAAUGUCCUAACGAAACAUACUUAUGCAUGAGUAUGAUUUCUCAACUUUGUUUGCUCUUUGGUUAGCUAAAACUACAAAGAAAUAUUUGAUAAAAUAUCAGUAUUUGUGAUUGGAUAAGAACGGAUAUGUAAAUUAAUAUUAGUAUUUAUGAUUUGUUAGGAACGGAUUUUUGGAUUAAAUAUUACUAUUGAUUUCGACACGUCUACUAAUAAUUCCCAUCGUUUAGCACCUCAAGACGUAGAAGAAGACAGUAACAUACAGGGAAUAUUAUAGUGGCACAAAUAUAUCAGAACUCAACUAUAUUGUGAGACGAUUGAAGGUACAAAGAAAAGUUUAUUAUGUCUUACUUUUUCCACUUAUCUUCUACUACAUUUUGCCUGGAUUUGAAACUUUAUUAUGCUAUCUUUAGCUAAUUCAUGCAAUAAUAGAUUUCCUUGGGAUGAACUGGCACAAUUUUUUUUGAACACAAAGAUGAACUGGCACACAUAUUAAACAUUUGUCGGUUAUUUCGUAAGUACAUUCCAGAACAAAAAGAUACUAAUGUAUGUUGAUAUGUAUUACCAUUUACAAGAAUAACAUUGACAAAAGAAUAAAGAGUAGAUGUUCAUACAUUUUCAGUGUCACAUGAAAACACAGUUAAGUAAGUUUGGGUUGGCUCAAAAUAGUCAAAGCGAGUUAAGCGAUCAUUUAGGCCGAAUACUAUAGAUUAGAGCAUUUCCAAAGGCACUCUAUUUUUUCCUCUAUAAUUUACACUAAAAUAGAGUAACUCUAUUAUAGAGUUAAAUUUGCUCCAAUGGUUCACUCUAUAAUAGAGUUACUCUAUAAUAGAGUGAAAUAUAGAGUAAUCCUAUUUUUUUACUCCAAAUAUAGAGUGAAAAAACAAGAAUACUCUAUAUUUCACUCUAUUAUAGAGUAACUCUAUUAUAGAGUAAACCAUUGGAGCAAAUUCAACUCUAUAAUAGAGUUACUCUAUUUUAGAGUGAAAUAUAGAGGAAAUUAUAGAGUGUGAUUGGAGAUGGUUGACACAUUCUCUCUCUUUUUUUUUUUUUUGCUAAAAUUCUCUCUCUUUUUUCUAAUGGUUUUUCCUUUAAAGUAAGAGCAUCUCCAACCCCACUCUAUUUUUCACUCUAAAAUAGAGUUUAGAGUAAAUAAUGCUCCAAUGGUACUCUAUUUCUCACUCUAUAAUAGAGUGAAAAAUAGAUUUACUCCAAAUAUAGAGUAAUUUGUUUUUUUUUUGUUCAUCACUCUAUUUUCUACUCUAAAAUAGAGUACCAUUGGAGCAAACUCAAACUCUAUUAUAGAGUUACUCUAUUUUAGAGUAAAAAAUAGAGUGAACCAUUGGAGAUGGUCUUAUGCAAUCGGGAAUUUUUUUGCUUGUUACUGUUCAAAACCAAUAUAAGAGCUAUAAACCCAAUCUUAUAUGAAAAAAAUAUCAUGAAACUAAUAAAGAAAAUUGACCUUCCAAUAUAUAAUUACGGAUUUCAAUUUCAUGCAUGCAUGCAUGUCCCUGCACCAUUCGUUUCUUUGUUUCCUCUCACGACCCAAUAAUUUGAAAACCAAGUAAAUUAAAAGAAAUAUUGGUGGUCGUCUGAGUACUUGAGUAUUAUUCGCAAGGACGUGUUGUUGGUCCAUAACCAGCAGAAAAGACCAAGAAAACGAUAUUGGUUUUGAUGUUGAAUACACGUCGGUCCGACGACAGCAGAAAAGAGAAUAAAAUCCAGACGCCAUAUGAAUUUGUUUAUGUCGGUAACUCAAUAGCAGAAAAUAGGAUUAUAUAUAUUGAAUCAAAAAGCGAUCAUCGUUUUGAUAUUUUAAUUUACGCAUGUACCUGCACUAAAAAUAUUGAAAUAAAAAUAAUAAUUUUAAUUUUGAUUUUUUUGAGCAAAAUAUCACAAAUAAAAUACUUUCAUACGUAUCUUAACAGUAAAAUAGUGAUAUAUUUUAAUAUAUAUAUAUAUAUAUAUAUAUAUUUAUCUACUUUCUUAAAAAACAUUCAUUAGAAAUACUCUUAAAACAUAUUAAAAAAACAUUUUUAUUGAUUGCAGAUUUUUUUGUAAAACAGAGGUUGACUAACGAAAUGGUUGGUUUUCAAGUUUAUCAAUUGAAAUGAAAUCACAGUUAACUCUGGAUUUAGCUAACUUUUAAAUUAACAAAUCAUUUGAAGGAACUCCACAUGUCCUAUUUCUUAAAUAUACUUUAAGCACAAUUUCUAAAUUUCCUGGAACUUUAAGAGUUUCAGAAUACCGUCCUAUCUCCUGUCUGAAUACUAUAUAUAAGGUCAUUUCGAGAUUCCUAGUUUCAAGACUCAAACCUAUUCUACAGCACUUGAUUCUCCCGUGUCAAACUGCAAUCGUUAAGGAUAGCCUGCUUGUUGAAAACACAGUACUUACUAGUGAGUUGAUCCAUGGAUGCCAUAAAAACAAGGGAUAAAAAAAAAUUACCAUAAAGGUGGACAUAGCCAAAACUUUCGACACACUAUCAUGGGAAUUUCUUCCUUGAAGGUCUCCACAUCCCUCCUAAGUUCAUUUCAUGGCUCAAGGCCUGCAUAUGCACGACAAGCUUUAUGAUUGGCUAUAAUGGUACAGUCUCAGGUUAUUUUAAAUGCAAAAGAGGCUUAAGGCAAGGUGACCUACUGUCCUCUUACUUAUUUGUGAUCGCUAUGAACUGCCUAUCCUUUAUGCUAAACAAUGCAGCAGCUCAUGGGAACAUUUAGUACCAUUCCAAAUGUAGUAAGAUGAAACUAACACAUCUAUCAUUUGCCGACGACAUACUGAUUUUCAUAGAUGGGUCUUUGGAGUCGGUCCAAAAUGUGCUUCAUAUCCUCCAUGAAUUUGAGCAACGGUCUGGCUUGGCGGUCAGCUACCAAAAAACAAGUUUUUAUGGAUCAGGUCUGUCUCCUCAAGAAAUUGAAACGAUACAUGCAUCUACUGGAAUGUCUUGUGAGACUCUACAUGUCCGCUAUCUUGGAGUACCGCUCAAUUCAAAAAAAUUAAACCUUGCUAAUUGUGAGCUUCUCAUUCACCAGAUCAAGUCAAGACUCUUCUCUUGGUCAGUGAAUUCACUCUCCUUCUCAGGCAGGCUCCUCCUC